rnacentral:lncRNA from 10 species
CAAGGAAUCCAGGGCUACUCGGGAUUAAGUGACUUGCCCAAGGCCAUGAGGUCACAGUGAUGCAGUCCAGCACUCUUCCUAUGGCACCCCAGUGUCUCUCAAUAUGGCUGUGCUGUCCGCACAGACGGGCUGAUCCCACCACCCUCCCCAGUUUCUAUCCCUGCUUCUAAAACCUGCAACUUGUCCUGUAAGCCAUCUUAGCACCUGCCUCUGGCUUCUAAGCAAACUUCAGGGCUAGGCUGUCCAUCCCAUCAUAGAUCCUUCUGUCAGUUAAAUCCUAAGUCAUUAAACAAGCAUUUUCCCCUGAGCCUAUAUGUGGUUAUAGCAACUUAAGUAAAAAAUACAUUUGUUCAUGGUGGAAAAGUGGUAUAACCAUAAGACAUAUGUAAUUUGUUGGGAAACAGCCUCUCUAUUCUUACUUUCAAAUGUCACAGUGAAUACUUGAAACUAAACUAUGCCGCUGGAAAGCUGGAGUUAAGAAUUUACUUGGAAACCUUAAACAUGGGUAAUUUUGGUUAGUAGCCAUUCUGUGACUUUGCUUAGACAUGACAGGUUAAGGGCUGUAGGGCCCAAGGCAGAGUUGACAGACACAAGCCCUCUCUCACCUCCUCAUCUGCAUAGGAAGGAUAAAUCCCUGUCCUGUAGGCUCCCAAUGGUCCUGCCCACAGGGUAAUUGCAGAGAAGAUAUUCUCUGAUGAGAUCAACCCAUGCAAGGCAGAACUACCAAUAUCUGUACUGCCAGAGAGACUCCCCUUAUUCCACAGUGAAUCUGAGCAGUACUAGACUCUCUCUUUACCUCUGACCAAAUACAGAUUGCAGUUCAAUUUGGAUCUGGAAAAACUGGUGGUGUAGUGGAAAGAACAAGUCUGUGGAGAUCCUGAGUUUCAACCCUGGUUAAUAAAUUCUACUAAACAUAUUUGGUUAGUGAUCUCGGGCAAAUUACUUAACUUCUUUGGGUCUCAGUCUCCACAUUAAUGCUGCUGCAGCGAGGGGCGAUGAUUCUGAAGCUUCAUAUCUUCAGAACGGUAGAUGCUAAGCACUGAAUGGUGCCUUUCAUGAACAUGGCUUUACCUUGGCUUCAAAACAACCCUAUGAGUCCCCAGGUGUGGUUUCGAGAAGAGGCUUCAGGAAGGGAAAGCUGACCAGGGAGAUGGUUUCUGAAAGGAUGUGUCUUUCUGGACCAGAGGAAACAAGCCACAAGCUGGGUGGAAGACAAGCCAUACGCCUGCUGUAGAAAUAUUCCUGCUCCAUGUUUCCUUUUUGCCCUCUGGACUGAGUCCUUUUGACGAAAGAACACUCAGAACCUGCUGAGCUUUGGGCUGGCACUGGGAUUCACUCACUCUCAGGGAAAUCACCUGUGGGAUUCCCAUAUGUAAAACACACCUCAAAUUGGAGCCACCUGCGUGAAGGAGGUUUCAUGAACACCGAAAACACCAGCCUUUGGCUUUUCCUCAGUGAGAGCCCACAGCGCCUCCUUGUGGACUAUCUGAUAAACUGGAACCAGUUCUCGCAGGGCUGAAGGACGGUGGUCACCUAGAGGCAUUGCCCAGGAUCUGCACUGCGCUGUCCACCCAGGAAUUACUCUGUUUUCUUCUACUUUUAAAUAAAUUUGGGAGAUGGGCUGGGUGUGGUGGCUCACACCUGUAAUUUCAGCGUUUUGGAAGACCGAGGCGGGAGGACGGCGUGGGACCAGGAGUUCAUGACUGGCCUGGGCAACACAGUGAGACCCUGUCUCUAUUUUAAACAACGACAACAACAUAUUUAAAAAAUAAAAAUAAGAAAAUAAAUUUGGAAGAUGAACACAUUCUAUUUUAAUUCUGUUAGUGAUCAGUAAAACUGGCUUAAAAGCUGAGUUUCCUUUGGUUCCCUUUUGUUUUAUAAAAAAUGUCUGUGUGUACCUUUGUCAACAGCCUGAAUCCUAUGAAUCACAGGUUCCCCUGGGGAAGAUGGGGGUUUGAGUUUGGUUUCUUACUUGUGUUUAUAGGGUUCUGGGCAACUUGGGAGGGCGAGACACUAUGCCCUCAUGGGAUAACACUAAUU